AGAAAAUAUAAAACUACUGAUAUUUACUUUGACGGAGAAAUUAAAAAAUGUGAAAAAAUCCUAGCCACUUAUAAAGACUUGCAUUCCUUCUGACGACACAAGACCUGACUGGCCCCAUCUACACUACAGAAAUGGAUUUUAAACAUGGUGGGCCAAAUUUAGAGGUGCAUGUGGAAUAUGAUCUGUAAGCAG